AUUGAACGCUGGCGGCAGGCCUAACACAUGCAAGUCGAGCGAGCGGCGGACGGGUGAGUAAUGUCUGGGAAACUGCCUGAUGGAGGGGGAUAACUACUGGAAACGGUAGCUAAUACCGCAUACCAUCAGAUGUGUCCAGAUGGGAUUAGCUCGUAGGUGGGGUAACGGCUCACCUAGGCGCCGAUCCCUCGCUGGUCUGGGAGGAUGACCAGCAACACGGGAACUGAGACACGGUCCAGAGUCCGACGGGAGGCAGCGGGGGGGAAUAAUGCACAAUGGGCGCAAGCCUGAGGCAGGCAUGCCGCGUGUGUGAAGGAGGGCUUCGGGUUGGAAAGCACUUUCAGCGGGGAGGCGUUACCCGCAGAAGAAGCACCGGCUAACUCCGUGCCAGCAGCCGCGGUAAUUC
rnacentral:rRNA from 1 species